rnacentral:rRNA from 1 species
ACGCUCGGCACCUACGGGGGGCAGCAGUUAGGAAUAUUGGGCAAUGGAGGAAACUCUGACCCAGCAACGCCGCGUGAAGGAAGAUGGUUUUCGGAUUGUAAACUUCUGAUCUAGGGGAAGAAGGAAGUGACGGUACCCUAGGAGAAAGCCACGGCUAACUACGUGCUAGCAGCCGCGGUAAUCUGAGCGGGCUGGCAAGGC